rnacentral:misc_RNA from 1 species
GAUGAAGAACGUAGCGAAAUGCGAUAAGUAAUGUGAAUUGCAGAAUUCAGUGAAUCAUCGAAUCUUUGAACGCAUCUUGCGCUCCUUGGUAUUCUGAGGAGCAUGCCUGUUUGAGUGUCAUUUCAAGUUCUCAACCACAUCAAUUUCAAUGUGGCUUGGAUGGUGGGGGUUCUUUUUGCAGGCUUCUGUAAAUAUGAAGUCGGCUCCCCUGAAAUGUAUUAGUGGUAUCUGAGCUACUACAGGUGUGAUAACUAUCUAUGCCUUGGUAUGCUGCAUGAAACAGAUUGCGCCGCUUCUAACAAGUGGGACACACAAUUUUGAUGAAUUUGACCUCAAAUCAGGUAGGACUACCCGCUGAACUUAAGCAUAUCAAUAAGGGAGGA